rnacentral:rRNA from 1 species
UCAGCUCGUGUUGUGAAAUGUUGGUUAAGUCCCGCAACGAGCGCAACCCUUAUCCUUGUUGCCAGCGAGUAAUGUCGGGAACUCAAAGGAGACUGCCGGUGAUAAACCGGAGGAGGGUGGGGAUGACGUCAAGUCAUCAUGGCCCUUACGAGUAGGGCUACACACGUGCUACAAUGGCAUAUACAAAGAGAAGCGAACUCGCGAGAGCAAGCGGACCUCAUAAAGUAUGUCGUAGUCCGGAUUGGAGUCUGCAACUCGACUCCAUGAAGUCGGAAUCGCUAGUAAUCGUAGAUCAGAAUGCUACGGUGAAUACGUUCCCGGGCCUU